AUACGGAGGAUCCAAGCGUUAUCCGGAAUCAUUGGGUUUAAAGGGUCCGUAGGUGGAUAAUUAAGUCAGAGGUGAAAUCCUGCAGCUCAACUGUAGAAUUGCCUUUGAAACUGGUUAUCUUGAGUUAUUAUGAAGUAGUUAGAAUAUGUAGUGUAGCGGUGAAAUGCAUAGAUAUUACAUAGAAUACCGAUUGCGAAGGCAGAUUACUAAUAAUAUACUGACACUGAGGGACGAAAGCGUGGGGAGCGAACAGGAUUAGAAACCCCAGUAGUCC
rnacentral:rRNA from 1 species